GCAUUUCUGAAGAGUCCCACACUAGGAUGAAACGGCUGUCUAAUGC
rnacentral:hammerhead_ribozyme from 1 species